UCCAUUUUCUUAAACGAAAAA
rnacentral:piRNA from 1 species